UCAUUCUAGAUACACUUUCCAGUACAUCUACUAUGUUACGACUUAUCUUACCUUAAUAAUAAGAGCGACGGGCGAUGUGUACAUAUUUUAGAGCUAAAAUCAAAUUAUUAAUCUUUAUAAUUUUACAACCAAAUCCACCUUAAAAAAUUUUUUCAUAAUUUUAUCCGUUUAAAUAAAUUUAUUGUAACCCAUUAUUACUUAAAUAUAAGCUACACCUUGAUCUGAUAUAAAUUUUAAUUAAAAUUAUUGAAUAUUAUUAUUCUUAUAAAAUAUUCUGAUAACGACGGUAUAUAAACUGAUUACAAACUUAAGUAAGGUCCAUCGUGGAUUAUCGAUUAAAAAACAGGUUCCUCUGGAUAGACUAAAAUACCGCCAAAUUUUUUAAGUUUCAAGAACAUAUCUAUUACUACUUAAAUAUU
rnacentral:rRNA from 1 species